UUCCGCCCCUACACCCCCUCCCACCCGGCGCCGGAAUCGCGGCGCUGCGGGCUGGAGGCAGGUUGAAGGGUCUUCCAGCCUCCGUAGGGAAUCCGUGCCCCAGCGGCCUUUAAGCCAGGCGGGCAAGACCGAGACGCGGGUGAGGCGACCCUGGGAGCAUGAGCGGGCAGCGCGUGGACGUCAAGGUGGUGAUGCUGGGAAAGGAGUACGUGGGCAAGACCAGCCUGGUGGAGCGAUAUGUGCACGACCGCUUCCUGGUGGGGCCCUAUCAGAACACCAUUGGGGCCGCCUUCGUGGCCAAGGUGAUGUCCGUGGGGGACCGGACGGUGACUUUGGGUAUUUGGGACACAGCAGGCUCUGAGCGCUAUGAGGCCAUGAGCCGAAUCUACUACCGGGGCGCCAAGGCUGCCAUCGUCUGCUAUGACCUGACAGACAGCAGCAGCUUUGAACGGGCAAAGUUUUGGGUGAAAGAACUGCGCAACCUAGAGGAGGGUUGUCAGAUCUACUUAUGUGGCACCAAGAGUGAUCUGCUGGAGGAGGACAGAAGGCGUCGACGUGUGGACUUCCACGACGUCCAGGACUAUGCAGACAGUAGCUGUUCCUUGGUUCCUUGGGUGUGGGGGAAGGAAGUGGCUGCUUGCUUGGGUCAAGAAAAUAGGGGCUGCCUUGGCUACCAACAGCAAGAUCCCUGUGGGAAGCCUUUCACUGACCUUGAAUCUCUGGGGUCCAGAAGAUUCCCUGUACUGCUGGCCUUCCCCUUUGUCAGUGCGCACCCAGUUCUCAGGUAUGAAGCUUCAGUCACUUCUCUUUACAGAUAUCAAAGCUCAGCUCUUUGAAACAUCCAGCAAGACAGGCCAAAGCGUGGACGAGCUCUUCCAGAAAGUGGCAGAAGAUUACGUCAGUGUGGCUGCCUUCCAGGUGAUGACAGAGGACAAGGGAGUGGACCUGGGCCAGAAGGCAAACCCCUACUUCUACAGCUGUUGUCACCACUGAGUCACCAUUCACCUGGCCUGGGGGAAUUAAAGGAACUCCCCCAGAGAGGCUGGACCUAGCUCUUGUCUGGGCUUGGGUGAUCAAACGUCUGAGCUACCCCGGGGCCCCAUGGCAGCAGAGGUGGCACCUGCCUGUGCUGGCCCAUGGAAGAGAGGCAGCAUUGGACUGACUGAGGGGCACAAGGAGGAUAAGGGCUGAUUUGGAUCUCAGACUUCUGCCCUGGACGUGUCUACAGAUUAAGUGGCUUCUGAUUUGUAAAUAAAAUCAAUGCACUGUGAAUCACA